rnacentral:rRNA from 1 species
GAUGAACGCUAGCUACAGGCUUAACACAUGCAAGUCGAGGGGCAGCAUGGCCUAUCUUUCGGGAUGGGCCGAUGGCGACCGGCGCACGGGUGAGUAACGCGUAUCCAACCUUCCCUUUACUGGGGUCCAGCCCGUCGAAAGGCGGAUUAAUCCCCCAUGUUCUCCGUCCCGGACAUCUGUGUCGGAGCAAAGAUUUAUCGGUAAAGGAUGGGGAUGCGUCCGAGUAGCUUGUUGGCGGGGUAACGGCCCACCAAGGCAUCGAUCGGUAGGGGUUCUGAGAGGAAGGUCCCCCACACUGGAACUGAGACACGGUCCAG